AUAUUAGAUUUAUUAUAUAUUAAUAUAAAGUAGAAUAAAGCCCUAAGGGGCGACUUCGUUAACGCUAAAUCGUAUACGAUCCUUUUCGAGACCUCGCAGAAAAUUUCUCAAGAAAGUUUAACAGCAUUCUAAAAUGGGGUUACUUUGUUUAUGAUU
rnacentral:ncRNA from 1 species